rnacentral:rRNA from 1 species
GUACGCUAUUCAGAGUUUGAUCCUGGCUCAGGAUAAACGCUGGCGGCGCACAUAAGACAUGCAAGUCGAACGGAAGUCGUUUAGUGAUUUAGAUAUGAAAGAUUUAUCCGGAUUUGAAGAUGAUCUAAAACAAUGGCUUUAGUGGCGGACUGGUGAGUAACACGUAAGCAACCUGCCUGUUAGAGGGGAAUAACAACGAGAAAUCGUUGCUAAUACCGCAUAUGCCAUAAGAACCACAUGGUUCUAGUGGGAAAGGAGUAAUCCGCUAACAGAUGGGCUUGCGUCUGAUUAGAUAGUUGGUGGGGUAACGGCCUACCAAGUCGACGAUCAGUAGCCGGACUGAGAGGUUCAACGGCCACAUUGGGACUGAGAUACGGCCCAG